GUGUCAGCCGCCGCGGUAAUACGUAGGCAGCAAGCGUUGUUCGGAAUUACUGGGCGUAAAGAGUGUGUAGGCGGUGCUCUAAGUCUGUCGUGAAAUCUCCCGGCUUAACUGGGAGGGUGCGGCGGAUACUAUUGUGCUAGAGGGUGGGAGAGGUAAGCGGAAUUCCUGGUGUAGCGGUGAAAUGCGUAGAUAUCAGGAGGAACACCUGCGGUGUAGACAGCUUACUGGACCACUUCUGACGCUGAGACACGAAAGCGUGGGUAGCAAACAGGAUUAGAUACCCUAGUAGUCC
rnacentral:rRNA from 1 species